GAAUCAAUUUAUACAUAUCCCAAAGUGAUCCCGUCCAAAUUAUUCCCAAAACACGUAUGGGUAAGGUUGAACCCAAACCCAUAUGAUCCGAUUCCAUCUCAAACCCAAGCAAAUCCUGCCUAUCUCGUCCAUUUUGCCACCUCUAUAUUCUUCUUCUUCUUCUUUUUGUUCUGCUUUCGUUGGUUUGAAAUAUUCAUCCACCGUGUCUGCCUUUCUAUCAAGUUGCUUCUGCUUCAUUUUAGCUUUUUCUUUUCAAUGGCGAAAUGCACUAGAUAUUGAAUAAUCAUCGUCAGAAAUGCUCAUUUACGACAUUUUCUACAUCCUUGCGUCCAAUAAUUCUUUCCUGCCUGAGAAAAGUCAUCCACAGUGCAUUUGACGACCCAGCUAAUUCAAUAAUUGGAGACGUCAUGCAAAUUCUUUCCCCCCCACUCGAUCUUGAUCUAAUGGUUGUUUCGCGACAGUAUCCAUAUUGGCCUACUGGUGGCAGCUAUAGAUGACAAACCAACCCACUUAACUAAAUUUACCCAUACCCGUCCAUGAAUAGAUGAGUAUGGGUAUUUUAAAUUUUUAUAGAUGGAUAUAAAUGGGUUACCCAAUAAUACCCAUUAAAUGGGUAUUAUUGGGUAACCCAUCAAACCCAAUUAACCCAUUUAGAAUUCUCUUCCCCCAAGUCUCUUCUCUUCCCUCACCCUUUUUUUUCCAAAUUUUUCAUUUUGUCAUGAUAUUAACUACUUUUGUUUCAUUAUUAUUAUUAUUAUUUUAUUUUCUCUUAGUUUGUUAACUUGCUUAUUUUUUAGCAUUACCAAUUUAUGAUAAAUUUUAGCCUCUUUUCUUAUCCUUCUAAAAUGAAAUUUUAAAUUUAUAUAUGAAAAAAAUGUUAGGGGUUCAAAAUUUUUGGAUUAAGGUUUUAUAUUAACUUUUAUAGUACUUAGUUCAAAUUUUUUUUAUUCUUAUUAUUCAAUUAUUAAAUAAUAUGUAAUUUUACGACAUAUAGUAUAAAUGAAAAAAAAUUGGUAAUUAGGUUUAUUGAACAUUAUAAGUAAAUAUUUAAAAUUAAUAAUGGGUACAACGAGCGGUAUAAAUUGAUAACUAAGUUUGCAAAAAAUAAAUUUAAAUGAGUUUACAAAAAAUAAAAAUAAAUGGGUUAUAAAGGGGUAAUUGGGUUACCCAAUUCAUUUUUUGACUUACCCAUUUAUACCCAUCUAAUUAAAUUGGUAAAAAUGGGUUGACUCACUUAUACCCAUUACCCAUUUUACCCAACUCAAACCCGUCCAAAUCACUCAUUUUGACACCUCUAGUGGCAGCCCUCUUUGCAGCAAAUAUGUUGCGAAGCAAUAACCAUGGACAUAUCUAAUUUGAUGUAAAACUAAUCAGUAGAAUUAUGGGAGGCCUUUGUGUAAAACAAGAAAUUCUUGCAAAAUAGAAUCUAAAGAAAGAAUUAAAGGAGAAAAUAUACUCCUUGUUUGCUUGCUAACUAAUUCCAACUUAAAUUUAAAAUAUAAUUUUAUACACUGUCAGCAUAAAUAGAUAAAUCUAUAUUUAAAAGAUUAAAAAAAAAAUAAACCGCAUAAGCAUGAUUGAUCUUCACUUGCAUUCCUUAAAUAAUUGAGGGACGCUCAUCAUAAUAAUAGAUGGAGCAUUUUGAAUAAGAGUUGGUACUGUCAUAUAAGAAUCAAUUUCCACUUUCGUAGUGUUGUAGAUUAAUCACAUCAAAUGACAACUUAUUUCUCCCCAGUCAAUGAUCAUAUAUUCCCACCAUCAAAAGGGUGCAGGGCACACAUUUGCUCCGUGGCCCAUGUAUUUGUUCAGUUUGUGCUAUGACACAAUCUUUAGAUUUUUUUUUCAUUGCAGGUGAGAUUCGAACCCUCACCUACAGGCCAAGGAGGGACUUAAGUUCCUCCCUGGUGGCUACUGAGCCAUUGGCCCAGUGAUUUUGUUCAGUUUCCAUUAUUUUCUUUCAGACCACGUUCUAAUUUCUUUGCUCAUAAAUUUUCUGUAUAUUCUGUAGAAC
rnacentral:lncRNA from 1 species